AAUAACAAUACAGGACUUUUUGGUUUUGUAAUUGGAAUGAGUUAAGUAUAAACCCCUUUACAAGUAUCAAUUGGAGGGCAAGUCUGGUGCCAGCAGCCGCGGUAAUUCCAGCUCCAAUAGCGUAUAUUAAAGUUGUUGCAGUUAAAAAGCUCGUAAUUGGAUUUCUGUUAAUAAUUUAUAUAAAAUAUUUUGAAUAUUUAUAUAACAUUAACAUAAUUCAUAUUACUAUAUUUUUUAUUAUAUGAAAUUUUACUUUGAGAAAAUUAUAGUGCUUA
rnacentral:rRNA from 1 species